rnacentral:rRNA from 1 species
GACGAACGCUGGCGGCGUGCUUAACACAUGCAAGUCGAGCGGUAAGGCCCUUUCGGGGGUACGACGAGCGGCGAACGGGUGAGUAACACGUGGGUGACCUGCCCUCAGCUCUGGGAUAAGCCUGGGAAACGUAGGGUCUAAUACUGGAUAUGACUCCACGGUGCAUGUCGUGGGGUGGAAAGCCUUGUGCGGCUGAGGAUGGGCCCGCGGCCUAUCAGCUUGUUGGUGGGGAUGGCCUACCAAGGCGACGACGGGUAGCCGGCCUGAGAGGGCGACCGGCCACACUGGGACUGAGACACGGCCCAGACUCCUACGGGAGGCAGCAGUGGGGAAUCUUGCGCAAUGGGCGAAAGCCUAACGCAGCGACGCCGCGUGAGGGAUGACGGCCU